AAAAAAGAAAAAGCUGCUGCUGCUGCUUCUGCUGCAGUGACUGAGCAAAAAAGUUGCUGCUUUUGUCAUCUGGUAUACAGCAGUUUUGAUGGGAAUGGCAUCACCAGCACUGUCACAAUCAGCAGUGCUGAUAAAUCUGUGGAACUGGAAGGAGAGAAGAGAAGGCAGCACUUUCAAAUGCAUAAUCCAUCUGAUUUUAAACAUUUGCUCUUGGAUGGGAAGAAUAACAUGGCAAAAGCACCAGCUUUUCUCUCUUGAGUGUGAAGAGUCUGGCCAACUAAUUGAAA